rnacentral:rRNA from 1 species
UACGUAGGGUGCGAGCGUUGUCCGGAAUUAUUGGGCGUAAAGGGCUCGUAGGCGGUUUGUCGCGUCGGGAGUGAAAACCCAGGGCUUAACCCUGGGCUGGCUUCCGAUACGGGCAGACUAGAGGUAUGCAGGGGAGAACGGAAUUCCUGGUGUAGCGGUGAAAUGCGCAGACAUCAGGAGGAACACCGGUGGCGAAGGCGGUUCUCUGGGCAUUACCUGACGCUGAGGAGCGAAAGUGUGGGGAGCGAACAGG